GUCUCUGUGGCCUAGAGGUAAGGUCCACGGCGAACUCUGCAUGAGACAGUUCUAUGUGCUGUAGCGCGGGUUCGACUCCCGCCGGAGACA